GAUGAACGCUGGCGGCGUGCUUAACACAUGCAAGUCGAACGAAGCAUUUGCGACAGAUUUUUUCGGAAUGAAGUUGCUUAUGACUGAGUGGCGGACGGGUGAGUAACGCGUGGGUAACCUGCCUUGUACUGGGGGAUAGCAGCUGGAAACGGCUGGUAAUACCGCAUAAGCGCACAAUGUUGCAUGACAUGGUGUGAAAAACUCCGGUGGUAUAAGAUGGACCCGCGUCUGAUUAGCUAGUUGGUGAGAUAACAGCCCACCAAGGCGACGAUCAGUAGCCGACCUGAGAGGGUGACCGGCCACAUUGGGACUGAGACACGGCCCAGACUCCUACGGGAGGCAGCAGUGGGGAAUAUUGCACAAUGGAGGAAACUCUGAUGCAGCGACGCCGCGUGGGUGAAGAAGUAAUUCGUUAUGUAAAGCUCUAUCAGCAGGGAAGAUAGUGACGGUACCUGACUAAGAAGCUCCGGCUAAAUACGUG
rnacentral:rRNA from 1 species